GCCCGAGUGGGGUAAUCUGGACAUCCUAGGGGCCUGCGGAGCCUCAGAUCCGGGUUCAAAUCCCGGCUCGGGCG
rnacentral:tRNA from 1 species